rnacentral:misc_RNA from 1 species
GAAAUGCGAUAACUAGUGUGAAUUGCAGAAUUCCGUGAAUCAUCGAGUCUUUGAACGCACAUUGCGCCCCCUGGUAUUCCGGGGGGCAUGCCUGUCCGAGCGUCAUUGCUGCCCAUCAAGCACGGCUUGUGUGUUGGGUCGUCGUCCCCUCUCCGGGGGGGACGGGCCCCAAAGGCAGCGGCGGCACCGCGUCCGAUCCUCGAGCGUAUGGGGCAUUGUCACCCGCUCUGUAGGCCCGGCCGGCGCUUGCCGAACGCAAAUCAAUCUUUUUCCAGGUUGACCUCGGAUCAGGUAGGGAUACCCGCUGAACUUAAGC